GAUGAAGAACGUAGCGAAAUGCGAUACGUAAUGUGAAUUGCAGAAUUCCGUGAAUCAUCGAAUCUUUGAACGCACAUUGCACCCGGUGGUAUUCCGGGGGGCAUGCCUGUCCGAGCGUCAUUACAACCCUCAAGCUCAGCUUGGUGUUGGGCCCCGCCGCCCCGGCGGGCCCUAAAGUCAGUGGCGGUGCCGUCCGGCUCCGAGCGUAGUAAUUCUUCUCGCUCUGGAGGUCCGGUCGUGUGCUCGCCAGCAACCCCCAAUUUUUUUCAGGUUGACCUCGGAUCAGGUAGGGAUACCCGCUGAACUUAAGCAUAUCAAUAAGCGGAGGA
rnacentral:misc_RNA from 1 species